rnacentral:rRNA from 1 species
UACGUAGGGGGCAAGCGUUGUCCGGAAUCAUUGGGCGUAAAGCGCGUGUAGGCGGUUCGGUAAGUCGGCUGUGAAAGUCCAGGGCUCAACCCUGGGAUGCCGGUCGAUACUGCCGGACUAGAGUUCGGAAGAGGCGAGUGGAAUUCCCGGUGUAGCGGUGAAAUGCGCAGAUAUCGGGAGGAACACCAAUGGCGAAGGCGGCUACCUGGCCCACUCUUGACGCUGAGGCGCGAAAGCUAGGGGAGCAAACGGG